AUUGAACGCUGGCGGCAGGCCUAACACAUGCAAGUCGAGCGGAUGAAGGGAUCUUGCUCCUGGAUUCAGCGGCGGACGGGUGAGUAAUGCCUAGGAAUCUGCCUGGUAGUGGGGGAUAACGUCCGGAAACGGGCGCUAAUACCGCAUACGUCCUGAGGGAGAAAGGGGGGGAUCUUCGGACCUCACGCUAUCAGAUGAGCCUAGGUCGGAUUAGCUAGUUGGUGGGGUAAAGGCCUACCAAGGCGACGAUCCGUAACUGGUCUGAGAGGAUGAUCAGUCACACUGGAACUGAGACACGGUCCAGACUCCUACGGGAGGCAGCAGUGGGGAAUAUUGGACAAUGGGCGAAAGCCUGAUCCAGCCAUGCCGCGUGUGUGAAGAAGGUCUUCGGAUUGUAAAGCGCUUUAAGUUGGGAGGAAGGGCAGUAAGUUAAUACCUUGCUGUUUUGACGUUACCAACAGAAUAAGCACCGGCUAACUUCGUG
rnacentral:rRNA from 1 species